AAAACUUUGCAAUGCGGGAAACCGUGACAGGGGAACUCCGAGUGCCCGUAAAAUCGGGCUGUCCAUCAGUUUAAAUAACUGGUGAAGAAAGGGCCGGGCAAGACCGGUGCCAGCCGCCGCGGUAAUACCGGCGGCUCGAGUGGUGGCCACUAUUACUGGGCUUAAAGCGUUCGUAGCUGGUUUGUUAAGUCUCUGGGGAAAUCUUCCGGCUCAACCGGAAGGCGUCUCAGGGAUACUGGCAGACUAGGGACCGGGAGAGGUGAGGGGUACUCCAGGGGUAGGAGUGAAAUCCUGUAAUCCUUGGGGGACCACCUGUGGCGAAGGCGCCUCACCAGAACGGCUCCGACAGUGAGGGACGAAAGCUGGGGGAGCAAACCGG
rnacentral:rRNA from 1 species